CUAACUAGUCAAGUCAACCUUAAAUUAGGUUGACUAGUGACUAUUUGGCGAGGUCAAACUGGCUGCUUUCCUUAAUCUGUUAUGAAGACUGCUGUUUAAUAAGCUGUUAUGAACAGCUUUCAUGUGACUGGAUUUCUCAUCCCAUCUGGACUGCAAGGUGCCCCAAAUUUAUAAGGUCGACGCAAGUUCAACUCUAUAACCACGUGGCCAUAUUUCACUUCAGGUUUAAUAUAGGCCUAAAUAGGGUAUCCGAGUUCCUGGCAGUGCCAGCUGGAAGAACCACAGGCCGAUGCCAACAUCCCCCCCUUUACCUGGCAUUGUGCCCUCUGCGUGCCCGUGCCGUGCACUGAGUUGCUGAGACAACCAAAGCAGUGAAGUGGAGCAGUCCCAGCUGCAGCCCAGAGCACUGUGCCGGGGGGCUGCACAUGUCGUCAGCUCUGGUUUGCAUUAUGCAGGUCUUACUGCAGGGAGUUUGAUUAAUGGCUGGAGUCAGAGGGGACAGACACAGGAGCUCAGAGGGAGUUGCACACAACAGCAUUCUGCACACAGCACCACAAUACAGCACUACGUCUCCAGUGCACAGGAUCACAGUGUGGUUUCCUGGGCUGCAAACAGGAGGUCACUGAGAGCGAACUAGAGGAGACGUCUGAGCCAGAUGAUGUCAGCUUACACUCAUCCUCACACACACACACAAUCAUGAAGUCACGCACACUCCACCCACGUUAUGCGUGAUCAGUUGCAGGAUAUGACAAUGCUGCCGGUGGAUAUUAAUACCCCUUUAGCUCAUCUGAAUGCAGCCGGCACGCUGGAGAAAAUAUCUGACAGGUGCUAUUUUUAGAUCUGCAGGCAAGCACACAGGGAUCCACUAGAGCUCAAUACCGGCUAUUUUGGAGUGCAGCACUCACAGAAAUAGCAACGGCAUAUUGAAUCCAGAGGAGAGGGACAAAGAAACCUGGCUAUGGAUGUGCGCUCUCUAUUUAUAGCGCAACGGCAGCAAUUAACGCUGCAGAGAACAUGAGAGUACAAACCACAAAUACUGCAGACACUCAGGCGCUUAUGUUUAUCCUACUCUGGCGUAAGACACGGUCUGCUUGUGGUAUCUGAUUUGGGAUCAGCUGUCUUCAUCAGCCUGUGUCCAAAACAAGCGUAGGACAAAGAACUUACUUGAUCUGGAUAGUUUUAUAAACUGCAGCUCUCAAGUCUUAGCCACAAUCCAAAAAUGUCUUUAGAGGGAUAGUUUGCCAAAAAAUAUUAAUUCUGUCACGAUUUACUCACUCUUAAGUUGUACCACACCCAUGCAACUGACUUGCUUCUGUGGAACUCUAGAAGAGAAUUUCUAAGGAAUACCCUGGCCACUCUCUUGUGUAUAAUGAAAGUGAAUGAGAAGUGGGGCUGUCAAACUCUAAAAAGCACAAUAAAAGU